AUUCCAGCUCCAAUAGCGUAUAUUAAAGUUGUUGCAGUUAAAAAGCUCGUAGUUGGAUGUUGGGUUCUAGUUAUGUUCGGUCUCUUCUAGAGUACUGUCAUGCUGGCCCUUUUUCUCGAGGCCUAUAGGUGCACUUAACCGUGUGUUUAUAGUGUUCGGGACUUUUACCGUGAGAAAAUUAGAGUGUUCAUAGCAGGCUAGUGCUUGAAUAUUACAGCAUGGAAUAAUGGAAUAGGAUCAUGAUCUUAUUUUGUUGGUUUCUAGAUUAAGAUAAUGAUUAAUAGGGAUAGUUGGGGGCAUUAAUAUUUAGUUGUCAGAGGUGAAAUUCUUAGAUUUACAAAAGAUUAACUUCUGCGAAAGCAUUUGCCAAGGAUGUUUUCAUUA
rnacentral:rRNA from 1 species